UACGAAGGGGGCUAGCGUUGCUCGGAAUCACUGGGCGUAAAGCGCACGUAGGCGGCUUUUUAAGUCAGGGGUGAAAUCCUGGAGCUCAACUCCAGAACUGCCUUUGAUACUGGGAAGCUUGAGUCCGGGAGAGGUGAGUGGAACUCCGAGUGUAGAGGUGAAAUGCGUAGAUAUUCGGAAGAACACCGGUGGCGAAAGCGACCUUCUGGGCCAUUACUGACGCUGAGGUACGAAAGCUUGGGGAGCGAACGGG
rnacentral:rRNA from 1 species